AAGAAACAAUUCGGUGCUUCUAGGUUUUAGAAAUGAUUUGACAAACUGUCUGACACAAUUUGAGCUUGCUAAAGCAAGAAAGUCUAACCUAUUCCGGUGUUCUCUUCCUCGUGAGACAAGCCGUUAUAUAGGCUCAAACAAU